CUUCUGCUAACCUUCACUUAUAUUGAAGGGAGAAAAGUGGUUAAAAGCCAAUUUCACAUCCUCCCUCAUCCUUCACACUUGAGCACAAAUGCCCAACGGUUUUGGACUGUCAUCUGUUGUCCUAGUUCCUGGCUGGAGGAAGUGUUAGAACAUGCAGCUCCUUGCUCUGCAGAAAAUCACCCCAUUCCAGAGGACACAACAAGCCUGACUGAAGAAUGAGAUCUUUGGUGGGCACUAUGGUGACCUGCAGGAAAGUGAUAAGGGCGGACUUCCCAACAAUAUCAAGUAGCAGCUGACUACACAAGAUAGGUGAGUUCACUGUGGCCAGCUCUCCAGACCCACUACAGCUUGCUAUGUGCGAGGACCUCCAGCCAAGACACUGCACGGGAGAAGGAGCCAGAGAGGAGGGGCAACUGCUCUAAGAUGGCUGGAGCUACUAGUCAACGAGGCCAAGAGCGUCAUGUGACCCAGCAACGGAUAGUUGUUUUUCCAGAAAGACAACAUGUCUUGGGUUCCUCUCGCAUCCCACUGCAGGUGGUCCCCCUUCAACAAUGGGGGUCAAGUGCCCUCUCACGCUUUGAGUCUCCCCAACUUCUGCCACAUCUCUCUGAGCGCGACCUGAGAAAAUUCUCUGCUUUUAAGGUCUUGUGUGAUUAGGGCUUCUAGUGAGCAAACACUAUCCAGCAAGUCGGAAACAAUAUGAUGAAACAUCACCAUUGAUAUUACUGGAGUUGACUGCUAGAAAUUAAGUUUUUCACAAAAUGACUACAAAGUUUGCAGUGGGUGAGUUCUCUGUGCUUGGUACCCCACAUAACAAUAACCAAAUGUGAUUGGCUUUUGUAUCUCUCAACAAUAAUUGACUUGGUUCCAUUUUCCUUCGAUUAUUACAAAUGCAAGAUUUCAAGUCCCACAACUUGCUAAAAAGCAUCCCUAUUUGCCUGUGCUUCUUUCUCUCCCUGAACCAAGAACAGAGCUGCCACCCACAUGUAUGGUAGUGACUAGCUCACACUUAUUUAGAGGCUGGGUGGGAGGAAGCAUGGAAGGAAAGUGGGUCAUCCCUUCUCCGCUGUUAUAUACAAAACCAAAAACCAGUUUCAAAGGCCACUAUUUAAAAUAAAUGGAAAAAAAAUUGAAGGCUUCCCCCCCAUAGUUCAGAAAUAUAAUAAAAAGUUAUACAUACCCAGAUUUGUCUGGUUUUACCCAAACAACACAAAGUAAUCAACACAAAUCCCACAUUUCUAGUCUCCCAGUUGGACUGGCUCCGGAAUUGGGUGAAUCACGCUGCAUGAAGAACAAGCCCACUCCAUUCAUACAAACAAAUUGUUUUUGUUUCUCCUUCAUCACUUGUCGGAACAAUAGAGUCAGACGAGCUGGCUGACUGUUCAACUUUCUUUAAUUCACUCUGAAUUUUUUAAACUGAUUCCUUGAUAGAUGAUUCUUGGUAGGAUUUUGAAAGAUUGGGUUGGAAGGAUGGACUAAACCCCUAUCCUUAGCUAUUUAUUUAAUUCUAUGCUAUGGGAGAUACCGAUUCAUUAUGAGAGUUUACAGCAUAAGCAGGAUCUCUAUUCUGCAUAUCAGGACUAAUUGAGAUAUUCCUUCUGUAACAUUUAUAAGUGCCAGAUCUUGCUGUAGUAGGUGUAUUGAGAACCGUUUGUAUAUAGCCCUUUAUAAUUCAUAAAGCACUUCCGCAUUUUUGUAUUACCACAAAACACCAUGAAAUGUAUGUUUCAUUAUACCAACUUUACAGAUGAGAAAAUCGGGGCCCAGAAGUUUUAGAUGACUUGGCUUUUGCCAGGCAAGAACCAAACCAAGCUUCGUUCGAUACAAAGGUAGAAUUCUCAAUCACUGUGCUGUCCCACCUUGCAAAGGGACUUUUCUCUUCUUUCCCCCCUACCUUCCCACUUACUCUCUUCCCUACCACUUUUCCUCAGAGGAGGAAGCAUCCCUUUUCUUUGCAAAAUGACCAGUGACCUCCAACUUUCUCCAUGUGCAUGCUCUGGUCCCUUUCUCACGGUCUUUGCCUUCAACUACCAGUUUUCAAACCCAGGCUUUAACAAUGGGCCUAACACGUGCCUGUCUCUGUGCUCAGGAAUGAGGGAACAGAGAAGAUGUGACCCAUGACCCACUUUGGAGCUUUACAGACCUCCUGGGGAAAGUGGCUAUACACACUCACUCGGCCUGCACUUACCGAAUGUCUGAUGUAUACCAGGUGUUAUCCCGGGCCCCGAAUACUCCACGGGGAACACAGUAGACACAGGCCUUGAACUCAGGGAGCUGACAGCUAUCAAUAAAACAGAGCUGACAACAGAUGCUUCAUGAAGUUAAUGUGAAGAUUGAGUGAGACAUCGUAUUACACAGUGGUGCUCAGUAACAGCCCAACCCACCCCUGUACUGUUUGUUGCUAAUGGGCUGUGAACUCCAGAGCUGGUGAGGUGCAGCCCAAUUGAAAUAUACCAAUUUCGGGUCAGACAACAUAUUUAGGUAUUUCCUUCUGAGAAGCAGAAUUAAACCAUAGAAUACAUUACUAGUGUUGCUAAUAUUUUAAAGUGCCCGUGAUAGGGGCUCCUGGGUGGUACAGUUGGUUGAAUAUCCAACUCUUGGUUUUGGCUCAGGUCACGAUCUCAGGGUCCUGGGAUUGAGCCCUGCAUCGGGCUCCAUGCUCAGUGGGGAGUCUGCUUGAGGUUCUUUCUCCCUCUCGUUCUGCCCCUCCCAUUUGUGCUGUCCCUCUCUCUCUCUCUAAAAUAAAUAAAUAAAUCUUUUUAAAAAAAUCAAGUGCUAGCGAUAGAAAUUAAAAUACUACUAGUUUUUGAGUAUCUACUUUGUGCCUAUUGGACUAGAUGAUUUAUCAUGCAUUUUCCCACAGAACAAUCUUGUGAGGGAAGUAUGUUUAUCUCGCUGCUAUAGAAGGAGAGACUGAGGGUCAGGAGAUUAAGUAAAUGGUUCAAGGACACACAAUUUCAUCGGUUCCAGUUGUGAAAUAUGCACCCACUCACACUGAUUCUCAGCAUGGUUUUCUCCCAGGUGGACUCAGAGAUGCCCUCAAACUCAUAAAGACUUCAAGUGGAAUUUUAAUGCACAGUGAGAUAAAGGGGGUGGGAGGAAAGAAGCCAACAAUCCCUCAGAAAGUUCAGGAAAGAGUAGAACCUACAGAUGAAUCACUGUUAGGAUUUUCCCCCUUCUUUACAGGAAACUCAAUUUGUCAGACAAGAAGAGGUAGAGAAGCAUUUAGCUGUCUCCCUGCAGCCCAACCAGGUCUGAGGAAAUUGCUUCUAGAAGUGCAAAUUUGGCUUAAAAGCCUGUGGGCUGACAAAAAGCUAUUUAGACUCCACUAGAAAGCUCUGUUGCCUAUUAUGUUUGUGUGAAGGUAAAACUAAGAGGAGAUACUUGGGAUUUAAACAUAUUGACCCUUUCACAGCCCUGAGUAUGCACGAGGUAGCUGAAAGACUUGAGAAAAUCUCAGGUUUGGUUCCCUGCUCCUGCAAGGUAAGGCUCCAGGGU